UGACCCAAGAAAGAAGCUGAAGCCAGCGUGAGAGGAGCACAUACGCAAUGUUAGCUAGUGGGUGGACCCUUUCUAUUUUCUACAUGCAGAAAAUUCAUAAAACUUCAUAAAUUACUACUUUAGAAAACCUGUGAUUUGUUUUGAUUGGUGACCCGAGGGUGGGACCUUUUCUACCUUCCACCCAACCCCCACCACACCCCGUCGUGUGGAACUUGCGACCCAAAUUCCGAGGAAAGCCCUAAAAUCUGAUAAGCCUCACUUCAUACUCUCAAAGCAUUCAAGAGACAAAGAAUGUGAACAAAAUUUAGUGGAGAAACAGAUUUCUGGUACGUGAAUACUGUUUCCAUAGCAAUUCCAUUGUAAGCGUUGGGGGAGGGGAACACCCACUGAAUACAGCUAAAUUCCUCAGGCAGCUGCCUAUUCUCCAGGUAUCUACCUGCGCGGAGGCGGGGCCUCCCUCUUUUCCAUAGAUACCACGGCAGGGGCUUGGACUCUGAUUUACACCAGUACAGCCCAGAGCCCGGAUGUGGGUGAGUGAAGACAAGGCAUACCUCGGUGUGACCACUUUCCAGAAUUCAGGUAUGUCCACAGUAUGAAUAACAUCCUUUCUGACUCCCAAAACGUUCAUCACGAAACAGGAAAACCCAGAUAUAGCGAUUUGAGAGAAUAAUUUUGAUAAAAGCACAGAAGAAGAGAGUGCUGGAUUAUGGAACUUCAAAGAGAACUCAGCUUGCAAUCACAAUUUCAAAGCCUCUCAACGGAAAGAGAAGAAAUUGCACUGGCCAGCACUGGGGAGAGGUACUCGGGACACAGAAAGGCUCACCCACCACGCUCCCAGCCUGUGGCUGUCCCCAGCAGCUCUGGCCUGCUUUUCCUGAACUUGCCUUCUCUCCCUCCCUCGAACAGGGCAAGAACUCAGUACUUGUUUGCUAAGUGCGUGGGGUGGAAUCGGCAUUGGGAGUUCCACAAGGCGAUUGUUUUGAGCUAUUAGUCAUCUUGGUGGCUUUCUUUGAACCCAUCCCCCGGCACCUUAGCUUUCCUGUAAACCCACAGAGGUUACAGCAGACGGAUGCAAUCUCCACCAGACAAUCCAGAAGAGCGGAGGACACGAUUCCUUUUCUGAUUCUCUAACAAAGUAGGAAAAAUUAUUAGCAGUUGUGUCCCCAAGGAGUAAAUAAGCAAAUCAAUGGAUCUAGUGGUAUCCUUAAAUCUUUAAAGAAUAUCAUUAAAGGGGUUGGAGAGGUGGCUCAGUAGUUAA
rnacentral:sRNA from 1 species